rnacentral:tRNA from 1 species
UGGGGUGUAGCUAAGUGGUAGAGUGUGUGCUUAGUAUGUGUGAAGCCCUGGGUUCAACCACCAGCAUCACAA